AGCAGCCGCGGUAAUUCCAGCUCCAAUAGCGUAUAUUAAAGUUGUUGCAGUUAAAAAGCUCGUAGUUGAAUUUCGGGAUCAAUAUGUUGGUCGUGCCUUGGUACGUACUGGCAUUAUUGGUUCCUACCUUCUGAAGAACCUCGAUGUCAUUAAUUUGGUGUCUUGGGGAAUCAGGACUGUUACUUUGAAAAAUUAGAGUGUUUAAAGCAGGCUCGCGCUUGAAUACAUUAGCAUGGAAUAAUGAAAUAGGACGUUUGAUUCUAUUUUGUUGGUUUCUAGGAUCGACGUAAUGAUUAAUAGGGAUAGUUGGGGGCAUUAGUAUUCAAUUGUCAGAGGUGAAAUUCUUGGAUUUAUUGAAGACUGACUACUGCGAAAGCAUUUGCCAAGGAUGUUUUCAUUAAUCAAGAACGAAAGUUAGGGGAUCGAAGACGAUCAGAUACCGUCGUAGUC
rnacentral:rRNA from 1 species